rnacentral:rRNA from 1 species
GUCCGGCCGGGAACUCAAAGGAGACUGCCAGUGAUAAACUGGAGGAAGGUGGGGAUGACGUCAAGUCAUCAUGGCCCUUACGACCAGGGCUACACACGUGCUACAAUGGCGCAUACAAAGAGAAGCGACCUCGCGAGAGCAAGCGGACCUCAUAAAGUGCGUCGUAGUCCGGAUUGGAGUCUGCAACUCGACUCCAUGAAGUCGGAAUCGCUAGUAAUCGUGGAUCAGAAUGCCACGGUGAAUACGUUCCCGGGCCUUGUACACACCGCCCGUCACACCAUGGGAGUGGGUUGCAAAAGAAGUAGGUAGCUUAACCUUCGGGAGGGCGCUUACCACUUUGUGAUUCAUGACUGGGGUGAAGUCGUAACAAGGUAACCGUAGGGGAACCUGCGGUUGGAUCAC